CUUUCUGAUGAUGAUUAAUCUAAAUACUUUCGUUCUUCUGAUGCGCUAUUUCAUAGUGCUGUGCGGAAGCAAUUUGGAGACCUGAACUGAGGAAAU
rfam:Hordeum vulgare subsp. vulgare, WGS project CAJW01000000 data, contig: morex_contig_1585019